GGUAUCAGAGCUAGCAAAUUUGGAGUAAGAAUCAACGCUUUCGGCACCGCGGUAUUAUAAUUCAAUAAAAAAAUCAAAAUUAAAAAAAAAAGUGUUCAAGUUCUUUGAUGCUGAGUUUUAAAAACUCUGUUUGCUGUCUGAAUUAGUCAUAUUAUUUUCUUCUACUAUUCGGCCACACCUAAACUAAUAUUUUUUGUUUCUAGCCCAGCUAUUGGUCCUAACAUCAAUCCUACACUAACCCGUCAACUCUGUUGCAAGCCGACCCCACUUU
rnacentral:lncRNA from 1 species